ensembl:lncRNA
UCUAUCGUUUUGCCUUUUCCAGAAUGCCAUGUAGUUGGAAUCACACCUUUUUCAGGCUGACUUCUGGCUUUUUUCAUUUAGCAAUGUGCAUCUCAUAUAGAUUGAUAGCUCAUUAAUUUUUUACAGUAUAAUAUUCCAUUGUAUGGGGGAGUUCCUGUCAUGGCACAGUGGAAACAAAUCUGACUAGGAACAUGAGUUUGCGGGUUCGAUCCCUGGCCUUGCUCAGUGGGUUAAGGAUCUGGCGGCAUUGCCAUGAGCUGUGGCAUAGGCCGGCAGCUGUAGCUCCGAUGCAACCCCUAGCCUGGGAACCUUCAUACACCGCAGGUGCAGCCCUAAAAAGACAAACGACAAAAACAAAAUUCCAUUUUUCUGAAGCUAGAAAGAAAUAGAGCCAGACCUUCUGGUCAAAGGCUAGGACUUUCCUCCUCUAUAACGGUUGAGGAGGAUUAGGAAAAAACCCGGGUGAGUGGCAGGUAAUAGUGUAAACUGAGGCACUUGGUGAGUCAACCCACAUGUUUCAUUUUCCUUCUGAAGUUGUCUAGUUGUAUUUUCAUUGUGCAAAAUGGAUGCUUCUAGAAGAGUCAACCCCAGCGGAGUCAUAUAGCUCCCUAAAAGUGAGAAAAGUUGCUUCAGGAAAGACAAGUACUCUAUGCCCUGGGCCCCAGGUUGACAAAGUGAAAUAUCUUUGGAGCACUGACAGCUUAUUAUUACCUGAGGGAGUAUUGCUUUCAGGAGCCCUGCAAAGGAUCUAUCGACUGCACAAAUCACCAUCCAAACUCCCCUCAGGACCUCCAUUCCUCUCAUUUAAGGGAUUUGAAUUCCUGUUGAGGAUCCAACCCUCUGGGAAGGAAAGCAGUUCUGCUUUAACUGUGAAUAAGGCACCAAGAGCCAAGUGAGAAGGUGAGAAGGUGAAAAAUUGGGACUCAAGGAAAAGAGGAUGAGAGAGAGAGCGCAGGAUGGGGCUGGAUGCUAAGUAGGAGUCGCUCUUCCCUAAACUAAGCUGGCUCCUGCCUUCCACAUGGAGGGGACCACACCAGUGUAAACCCUUUGGGUCUCCCGUGUCCUAACUCAUGGAAGCAGAAUGACCAUUGAUUAGUGAAUCAGUGAAACCCAGCCUGCUUCUCUCCUCUCCUCUUCAGAGUGAGUCACUGGGUACAGAAAUUUCCCGUCCUUCUCUCUGUAGUACGUGUAACAUGUGAGGGCGUCUGGCCAUCCAGCAAAGCCUGUGCCUGUGGCUGGGGGUAGGUAGAGGUCUGAUUAUCUCUGUGUUCUAUAUUAGGAAGGGAUGGCGCAAGGUAAAAGCCACGUUCCCUAAUAUCAGCUUUGCAAGUGGUAAAGGUGACAUUUUGGUCUAUGUCUGCUUUACUAUUUUAUCUGUUUCUAGUUGGUUCAGAAUGAAUGAGGAAAAGGAAAGUGAUAUUUUCUGGGUGCUCACCAAACCCAAUUCAUGGGAAACCAGAGACCACCUUUAUCCAUUUACAAAUUUCCUUAUUUAUGGCUUUUUCCCCAAGGAUGCCUUGAACUUUGACAAUAGGAGAUGGAGUAAGGAGUUAGAGGAUGACAGAGAGGUCUGAGGAGGGUCACCAAUAGUAUAACUACUGUGGCCUCAUUGAAUUCUUAUGGAGGUAGUAGCUGUGACUUUCAUAUUGUCACAUCCAUCUUAUAGACAAAGAGUAGGAGGACUCACCAAGGUCACAUAGCUAGUAAGGGGCACAUCUGAUUCUUGCUGAUUCCAACCCCUCUGCUUGCCCACUGCAUUUCUCCGGGAAGGGUUUGUGUCUUCUUUCUCCCGUGUUCUUUGCAUCUCCCCUUCCCUUUCAUCCCUGCUGCCACUUCCCUACCUCGGGCUCAUGUCUGGCUUGUCACCCUAGGCCCCCUCAACCUCUGUCCCUCCCUUCCACAAGACUAGCUCUCCUAAGCUCAUUUAAUAUGUGCCUUUUCAGAUCCCAGAUCAUUCUCAUGGGCUACAUCAGCUCCUAAAAUGUGAUUGUCCCCUGAAGAAACGGAAUAUUCAUCAGUAGCUCCAAUUUAGAGCCCCAAACCUGACCUGGUAUGAACUAUUUACACUGACGUCAUGCAAGUCAUUUCAACCUUCUUUGAAUAAAAACACUCAUUUCCCCCCUUCUGAUAGUUAUGAUAAUCCACUCAAUGAUCCCAUUUCUUCAUGCAGAAUUGUAAACUGUCCCCUUGUGGGAGCACCACACACCCUGCACUGUUUGCUUGUCCUUGGACAUCUCUGUAAACUCCUCAAGGAAGGAGAUCAGAGAUGUAUCCCCUGAGCCCAGCAGAGUGCAGGGAAGAUAGAAAUUGCUCCACAGAUACCUGUUAAGUGAAUUAAAUGAGUUCCCUUUUGCAUUUCUUACAAUAUCAGGCAUGAUAGUUCCAACUUAAUAUGUGGUUCUCAAAUGCUUUUGAAUAAAUGAAAAAAUACUUAUUUAAAUACUGCAAAUAAAUAAAUAA